UUAGAAAAACCACGUCGUUUUCUAAUUUUAAUUCCCAAAUAAAGAAGACGCGGUAGGUUCGAAAACAAUUAAAAAACCUUCAUUCCCCCAACGAUAAUUGAUUUUUCUCCAUCCCCAUCGUCUUCCUCACCAAGCCAGCCUCCAAAUCUCUUGUGAAAUCUCGCAUCUCCCCACGAAGCUAGCCUCUAUCCCCAUAACCCUCUUCACCGUCCCCAUUGUCUUCCCCACGAAGCCACAACCCAGUCAACCAACAUCUUCUCCUCAAACCCAUGAACCUCAAGGUUUCCAACCCACGAACCGGAGCACGAAGCCUCAACCAACCCAGCCAACCUACGUCUUCUCCUUGAACCCACGAACCUCAAGUCAUAACCUCUUGCUUUAGUAGGACUUCAGAGGGCAAGGUAGAGCUAACAACAUUAUCCUGUUCAGAUGAUGACCAAUUCGAUGGUAUGGCAAAAGAAGAUGAAGCAUGCUGAACUGUUAGCAAGAUAACUCAAUGCGGGCCCCAGCAGCAACUGCUGUUACUCUCAAUGCAGAAUUUGAACCAAGAGUAGGCUUUGUUUUAGGUUUAAUGGAGGAUUGAGCUUUUGGUAUAGAACCCAAUGCCCAAUGGUAGAGGAUUUUGUAGCGUUGGAGCAUUCAUAAGGCUGGUCUUGGACUUGUAAAAUGCUGCUGGAAAGAGCAGUAGGAAGAAGCACAGAGUUGUUGGUUGUAUUCAUACCAGCAAUUGCAAAUUCAAGAACAGAUCAUUCAAGUUUUAAACAAGCACAUAAAAUUAAUUGUGUUAGAAAAGGCAAGCAAUAAAUCAUGUACUAGCAUUUGUAUUGGACAUGCCACUAAGUAAUUAUUCUAACAUAUUUUGGUGUUUUGAGAACUAUGAUUGCCUGAAUACUCGUUUAUAUUUUUAUUUUAUAAAUCUGAUAUAGCAUGUUUUCCAGUGUUA